AUUGUGGAGGACUCCACAGUAAAUCCUUACUUUGCAGUUGACUGUUACAGUCAUCUUGGGGGUUAAUUUUUUGUUCUGUGCAAUUGGUGUUUUGAGACUGAUUUUCUUGAAAGCUGUAGUUUUGAGAUCCAGCCACAGGUUUUGUUGUUGCUGCUGUUAUAACAGCAAGAAAUCUAACUGACAAAGCAAGAGAACUACACUGUCAAUCUGUAUAAUGCAAUAAUGGGAUUAUGUUAUUAAUUUAAUAGUAAAGGUAAGUUUCCUUCUGUGUGGAGUUUAAGCAUCACAUAAACAACAUUCCUUCCCUAGUAAUAGCCCUUCUUUGUACUUGGGCUCCUUCCUUGAAUCUUUAUGGCAGAUGGGUUUGCAGUCCUUUUUUAUGGGAAAUAGCCUUAUUUAGGCUUGGAGUGUGGGAGGAACCAGUGAUCCCCACAUAAUAGAUUUAAAAUAGUGGGGCAUGUGUAGUUUCCACCACUUUAGCAUGAAGUAUUAUUCCCAUUUUACUGGAGGGAAGCUAAUCUGAAGACCUGUAUUUGCUGUGUUAUCUUGAGCAGGGAAGGAACUGGAAACAGGAUACAGGUCUCUUUUGCUGGAAUGCUAUGCUCUCCUCUUUACAUCAGCAUACCUUGGAGAGGCUGGGCUUUGCUACAUCUUAAAAUCCUGCUAUGUUAUUUAUGUCAGGAGCUAUUAUCCUCUAAAAUGUGUUCAUUCCUUCCCUACAUUCCACUUCUCAUGAAAAGUGGCAAAAUUUUGGGUAAGGCAAUUGUUGAUGUUAGCCCUCAUAAGCUGCUGGGCAUCUCUACUUUUCUUUUUCUUCAUGCAAAAUGUCUCCAGUGAUUUCAGUCCUUAAAAUACAGAAUUUCAACUUCUCCCAGGCAAGUCAAUAGGUAAGCUGAACAAGGGGUGUCCCCAGUAGUCACAAUCAACCCCAGUAUCAAGGUAAUGGUGAACUCUGGGUUGACCUUGAAUUUAUAAGUAUGCUGAAGCGGAGCUUUAGCUGUUGGCUUUGUUAUGCUGUCCAUUUGACUUGUAUUUUGCCUGAUUCUUGUUAAGUCUGAAACCGACUGAAUUUCAAGAGUGCUCUUAGUUGAAGAGAUAAACAUUUGUGCUGAGUAAAGAUGUUACGUUGCCUCUAGGGUGCUGGUCUUUAAAAUAAAUGGAAUUUUGUUUUGUUUUUUCAUGAUUAGAAAGCUAGUAAGACUGAUUAUGGUUCAGAUCAGCUGCAACCUCAAGCCAGUGCUUCUGGUGGUAGUGGUGGCACUUUUGGUGGCCCACACUCCACCACAUUGCCUGUGGUGGUGCAUCUGUUUGUGAGGCUACAUGGUAGAUAGAACUGGGAGCUUUUGUGGUUUAAAUAUAACCAGGUCACCAUUUCUUCCUCCAGUUACCACCACAAAAGACAUGAAGGAUUAUGUUUACCCAGAUCUCUUCCCCAUCUGGUUCACAGCAGUGUCUCAAAAGUUACAGUGGCACGAACAAGCAGUGACUGGUUGAGGAGGGACUUGCUUUAACCACCCCUGCUUCCAACUGUGCCUUCAAUUUUCUCUGCAUGCAGUGUAGUUCCUUUAAAACUUCUCCCCAGUUCCUAAAAUAGUAUAAAGAUUUCAAAUUCCAUUUGUUUGGGAGCUGAGCUAAUUUUGAUUAUCAGUCAUAGUCUUACCGUGGUGAUUGUUUGCAACUGAAUGCUUCUGUUUAGGAACAAGAGCCUAGAAAACUUCUGUUAGGUUUGAUUUCUUCCUUUGUUAUUUACAUCUAUGCCAGGUUGUAGGUGGGUUUGUUUACAGCUUGUGUGUCCACAUUGUGCUUGGGGAUUCUCAUGUCCAUUGAAAUUAAAUAGGAAUGGUUUCCCUAUGUAUCCCUCAUGACCUUUCUCUCCAGAUUUCAUUUGUGGAACGUGAUUACUUUUGUGUUCAGAAAUCAUCUGAUGUUACUCAGAUUUCUAAGCAUGCAAUUGCAGUGAUAAUGGAUUAUCUUUUUCCUGAGAUUCCCUGUUUCAUGUGUAUGCACUUAUGUGAAUGCUGACCACCUGUAAAAAGCUGCCUUUGCUUUUGCAGUAGUUGGCUUUGUCUUUAACUAACAAUAUUUUAUCUCCAGUAUUCCCUAGUCCUGUAGGACAUGUAGGAACCUGUAGGAAAUGCUACAAAUAAUUCAUUAUACAAAGCUUUCUGUGCACGCUAAGGAAGGUAAGUGGUUUUAGACAUUGAAAAGCCAGUAGUGUUUUAGUAGCAAGUUAUCAAAGAGAAUUUGGUCUUUUCUGCCUGUCUGUGGAACAAAGAAUGAGGAUGCAUACUUUAGCUCUCAGAAUUCACAAAUUACCCACAUCUCGCUUGACAGAUUUUGAGGUUUCAUCACUGUUUUGAUGCAAUAAUGCCUCUGAAUACAGCAUUUAAAGUGGUGUGUCAGAAGUAUUGAUUCUGUACCCACUACUGGUGGGUAGAAAAUGAAAAUGCCCAAUCUGAGUUUGUCAUUCAUAGCUAAAAAUGCAAUACUGAAGAAAUGGAAACAAACAUCAGUCUAUGCAGUGAACACCAACUUGCUAAAGAUUGUAAAACUGUUUUCUACUGUAGUUACCCAAGGCAUUGCCCCUUUCUGUGAUGUUACAGACUUUUUACUUGGUUGUUUGAAAUGCUUACAGUACCUUUUAAAAAUAUGCUUUCCUGUGUGACUUACAUACUGCAGGUUUUGGAUAUAGGUUGCUUCAGUUCCUCAUAAGUUAGUAAGCUAUUAGAAAAUGAUUGAACAGUUUCACAACAAAGUAUUAUAUUGGUUUAGGUUAUGUGUGCCUACUGAGAUAUGCUUUUAAAAAAAAAAAGUAUUCUUAUAGAAAUUCGGUUUUGGACAUUAUUUACAGACACUUAUGCAUGUCUGAUUCAUGGGUGGCUCAUAAUCAAAGUUUGACCUUAGGAAGUUAUGAGUACUUUCAAGCUGGAAUAACAGGAAACAGUAGGUAUAAAAUUAGUUGGAUUCGAAGACUUCUUACACGUUUUGACAUGUCUAGCUUGCAUUAAGUACAAGACAUAGAAUUGUUUGUUAGACUUCAAGUGAUUUACACUGGAAGAAAUUUGCCAAAAUCUGUCCUGAACUAUCUGGCCAUAUCUCUCUUCAGUUCCUUUUGUAUAAACUGUUUCAAAGAAAUUUUUCCUCUAAUAUAACCAAUACUGAAAUAUAUUUAGAGAGCAUUCUAAGGCUAUUGUUCCAACGAAGUGCACCAUUAUUAUACAAGAUCUUAACCACUUUGGUGAGAAUUUUGUAGUUUUAAGAUGUAUGUUUAUAGCUCCCGUGUUUUAUUUCAGACAUAAUGAGUGAGAGCAGUGUCCAGCAGCACUAUGUGUGCUCCCACAGAUGCACAGAGGCAGUAGUCUUGGUGAAUCAAGUUGGCUCCUCCAGAGCACUUUGGAUGGUUGCCCAUGGGACACUCACAGAUGUUUUAUAAAUCCACACAAAAGCCAUGAACAGAGGAGAAUAAUUAGGUUUCUUGCCACCUGCUUUUUCUAUUCUGUUUCUCAGCUAGUUUAGGUUUUAAAAUCUCUAUUCAGAAUAUGAGACACUGAAAGGUAGAUGGGGAAAUGUCCCCAAGGGUGCUUUAGAUAAUAGCAUGUCUGGCAGGGAUCUGUAGGAUCCAUCCAACAGGUUGUCUUGUAUCUGGACUUCUUUAAGGCCUUUGACAUGGUACCCCCCCCAACAUCCUUCUCUAAAUUGGAGAGAUGAAUGUGAUGGCUGGACUGUCUGGUGGAUGAGGAAUUGGUUUAAUGGUCACAUCCAGAGGGUCAAUAGCUCAAUGUCCAAAUGGAAACUAGUCAUGGGUGGUGCCCCUCAGGGCACCCUGAGUGUUGGAACCACUGCUGUUUAAUGUCUUCAUCAAUGACAUAGGCAGAGGAAUUGAGUGCACCCUCAGUGCACUUACAGAUGACAAAAAUUUUUGUUCCAGUUGCUCAAAGUUAAGUAUGUAAAUCUUGUUAACCUUAACAGAAGAAUGGUUGCAGGUCUAUUGAGGUGUUUGUCUCUGGAUUUUUGAGGUGUUUAACCCUGUUCUGGGGGUGGUUAAAUGGAGAUGAAUGUGGGCCCAAGCUAAAUAGACUGUUGAUGUGGAUUGUGCAGCAGCUUGAAAACAGCUGCAUCUCAUUCUGGAAAAUGUAGGUUGUGAUGGACAGUCAUGUCCAAGCAGCUGAAUUUACAAGCAUUCUUAGUCCUUUCAUCAUUCCUCCCUGCAGCCACAGGUUUAAGUGGUGGUAGAAGGAAGAAUGCUUCCUAUGUGCAACAGUGGUUGCUGUUCGCAACGUGGGAAAGAGAAUGGUGUGAGUUCUGGGAGAGAGAGGGGUACUGAGUUCCUCUUGUCAAACAGGUGCCCAGACCCUGUUGCAGAGAGGCAUCAUCCUGGGUAGGCAUUCUGUGGGUCCCCAUGUGGAAAUUCCACAUUCAGGCUGCGUGUCAUUGUGGCUGGCAAAUGACGUGUCACAGGUUCAGACUGGAAGUAAGCAAGACUUUGACCAUGAGGGUUAGUAAUUGCUGGAAUAUAUUUCCAGAGGUAUAGGUGUGUUUUCUCAUAUGCUCCAUUUUUGUAUGGAAGUUGAUUCAAGUAAGGCUGGUUUAUGUGGUCUUUAAGCCUUGCAUUUUAGAACCAGGGCAUUUUACAGUCCUUGGUCUGUCUGAGACACUUUGAGGUGCUUGGUGUAGUGACUGUUGUGAGCAUUGCAGACACCUGUCCAUCAGUCAGGAAAUGGACUGAAACCAGCAGCUUCUUUCUCAUAGUCCACCACACAUUUGUCAGUUACCAGUAAUUUUGCUGCUGCUCUUGACCUGCACCAGAGGUUUGAUCUAGUAAAUGUAUGAAUCCCAUUACCAGUCGCCUGUGGUUGUGGAAUCCUUUGGCAUUAAUUUAUUUGUAGCAUUAUCAUUGUCAGAUUGACUCCUGCUCUGUCACAGGAAGCUCUGUAUGCUGCACUCAUCUGGUAGACAUCAUAAUGAUCACAGUCAUGUAGAUCUUAAAUCAACAAGAAUUUAUAAGGGCAUGCCUGUACUGUCCCCUGCCACAGAAGCUCUCUGUUGUUCACUCUGUUAAUGAGGAACUGCAUGAAGAGUAGCUUUUUGCAUGUGUGCUGCCUCUGUAUGCAUGUUAGUUUUCUUUCUUUGUUUUCUGUGGCUACAGAAUAUUUGUUUGGUUUUUAUGUUCAGUACGUUGAUUUUCCUUCCCUCAUUCUGCAGAGUUAACCAGAGCACCAUAAGAGGACAGUUAUCUGUUUUUACUUUGUAGUCUGAUGCCAUUAACAAUAUCGUCUUAAUCUGGUGCAUACUGUCUCCAGAGCAGUGGUUUUCCCCUCUUUUUUCCUGAAUCUGACUACCUAAAUAAGUGCUGAUAUGGUAGGUGGGUGGAGGGAUGGGGGAGGCAGAAAGAGCUGGUUGCUGACUGAAUUACUGUGUACAGUUUUGAGCACCACAAUAUGAAAAAGACAUUGAGCUAUUGGAGACUGUCCAAAGAAGGGCUGUGAGGAUGGUGAAGGGCCUUGAGGGAAAGCCUUAUGAGGAAUAGCUGAAGUCACUUGUUCUGUUCAGCCUGGAGGAGACUCAGGGAAGACCUCACUGUGGUCUUCUGCAUCCUCACGAGGGGAAGUGGAGGUGCAGGUACUGAUCUCUUCACUCUUAUGACCAGUGGCAGGAUUUGAGGAAACAGCAUGAAGUUGAAUCAAGGGAGGUUUAGGCUGCAUAUCAAGAAAAUAUUCUUCACUGAGAGGGUGGUUGGGCACUGGAACAGGAUCCCCAGGGAAGUGGGCACUGCUGUCAGAGUUCAAGAAGUGUUUGGACAACACUCUUAGGGCACAUGGUGUAACUCUUAGGUUGUCCUGUGCAGGGCUGGGAGUUGGAGUGAGUGAUCCUCAUAGGUCCCUUCCAACUUGGCACAAUCUAUGAUUCUAUAAUCUUUUUUGUCCAGUCUAUCAGCUUAUGCAACCAGCACAAUUUAAAUGAACUGUGUCAUUGGAAAUAAAGAACUUCUCAGCCAGGUUGUCUUAUAAAGAAUUGUAGAUACUUUUUUUCCUUUCAAAUCCUAAAAUUUAUAUCCAAGUAGAAAUAGAUUUUCAAAGAUUCAGUAUCUAAGAAGCUGAACUGGAAGUGAACAACAGAGUUAAAAAGCUCCGUGAUGAUCUUUUAGAAAAAUCUUUCAUAUUCCCUGAGUAAAUACAUUAAUAGAAUAUGGGCAAUGAGAAGAUGCUGUAACUGGAGCAGAACCAGUAAGUGUGAGGAAUAGUAGAAAAAUAGAAAAAUAAGGAUGUCGUGGAGAAGAUGUGUAACUUCUUUGCACCAGAUUUAUCACUGCUGAAUGCUGUGAUAUACCCGUUUUACGAGGUAUUAAGGAUGAGAAGCUUGCAGCUGGGGAAAUCACAAGAGGAAGUGCUGAAUCAAGAUUAUGAAUUAAAAAUAAAGUGUACAACUGGCUGGUAAACCAGACAUUUGGAAGAAAGUGAAGAGCUAAAUGACUGAACAGCUAUCAAAAACUGAGAAAUGUUUAUAAGAUCAAAUGGUCAUAGCCUGAAGACCUAUAUAGUAUAGAUAAUGGAUUCAUACCAGCUUGCAUUAAGAUCUGGAAUCUUGCUUCAUAUUUUUCAAGCUUGGCUGUAUGUUGAAAGUUUUAAGGCAGUUUUAGCUGAGCUUGAUUAUCUUGCAUGUUUAUCCAUGAUCUUUAGACUACACGUGUGCUUUUUUAGAAACGGAAAUCAAAGUCAGCUA